GGCUCAGGACGAACGCUGGCGGCGUGCUUACCCCUUGCAAGUCGAACGAUGAAGUUCCUUCGGGAAUGGAUUAGGGGCGAACGGGUGAGGAUCACGUGAGAAACCUGCCUUUCAUUUUGGGAUAACUCCGGGAAACCGGGGCUAAAACCGAAUACCCCGUCUCGGUGGCAUCGCUGAGCCGGGAAAAAAUUUUGAUGAAAGAUGGUCUCGCGGCCUAUCAGCUAGUUGGUGAGGUAAUGGCUCACCAAGGCGACAACGGGUAGCCGGCCUGAGAGGGCGACCGGCCACACUGGGACUGAAACACGGCCCAAACUCCUACGGGAGGCAGCAGGGGGGAAUAUUGGGCAAUGGGCGCAAGCCUGACCCAGCGACGCCGCGUGAGGGAUGAAGGCCUUCGGGUUGUAAACCUCUUUCAGUAGGGAAGAAGCGAAAGUGACGGUACCUAAAGAAAAAGCACCGGCUAACUAUGUG
rnacentral:rRNA from 1 species